rnacentral:lncRNA from 1 species
UAUUAUUACUGGGAUUCAUUAUUACUGGGACUGCUACAUUAGAAAAAUAGAAUGGUGAUUACAUAUGCUCACUCACUCACUCACUCACUCUCUCACACACACACACACACAUAAAUAAUAACAAUAAUAAAAUAAAAUAACAACAGUAGAUAUACACACUGGGUCCAAACCAAGACAUGAAAAAGGACUUUUUGUAGUGGUGGCGAAGGACAUUGAUUAAUGAAGCGGGCAAAUGUUCGGACACAGUCUGUGAGAAUGGGAUGCCACGUAGGACUCAGUCUGGAGCUGCUGACUCAGUCACCAUC